rnacentral:tmRNA from 1 species
GGGGGCGAGAGGCUUCGACAGUGGAAGGCUUACAGGAUUGCAGGCCGAGGUGCCAUCACCCUCGUAAAACAGGUGGCAAAAGACAACUGCCGAAGCAGUUCCAAUUGCAGCCUAAUUGAGGCUGCACAUCCAACCUGACCUCACCCCGAUGGGUUAGGAUUGGGUGCCGAUGAGUCGGGGUGCUCCAACCCUGAUGUCGAUAGGGGUUGGCUAAGCAGUAUCGGCUGGCUCGGUCAUACUCUGCCAGCAGGAGGCUGACCGGGCGAGACUAAAACGCUGGCUAAGCCUGUAGUAGAUUCUGGCAACCUUCCUCUGGACGGGGAGUUCAACCCUCCCCCGCCUCCACCA